rnacentral:rRNA from 1 species
UACGAAGGGGGCUAGCGUUGCUCGGAAUUACUGGGCGUAAAGGGCGCGUAGGCGGACAGUUUAGUCAGAGGUAAAAGCCCAGGGCUCAACCUUGGAACUGCCUUUGAUACUGGCUGUCUUGAGUACGGGAGAGGUGUGUGGAACUCCGAGUGUAGAGGUGAAAUUCGUAGAUAUUCGGAAGAACACCAGUGGCGAAGGCGACACAUUGGCCCGUUACUGACGCUGAGGCGCGAAAGCGUGGGGAGCAAACAGGG